ACGGUUAAAUCAUGCUGAAACACGGUUCUCAUUCCUCACCAAAGUUAAGCAUCGUGUCAGAGCCAGGUCAGUACUUAGAUGGGGGACCGCUUGGGAACACCUGGUACUGUAAGC